rnacentral:rRNA from 1 species
CGUUAAUCGGAAUUACUGGGCGUAAAGCGCGCGUAGGCGGCUUUGCAAGCCGGAUGUGAAAUCCCCGGGCUUAACCUGGGAACUGCAUUCGGGACUGCAUUGCUAGAGUAUGGGAGAGGGAAGUGGAAUUUCAGGUGUAGCGGUGAAAUGCGUAGAUAUCUGAAGGAACAUCAGUGGCGAAAGCGACUUCCUGGACCAAUACUGACGCUCAUGUGCGAAAGCGUGGGGAGCAAACAGG